rnacentral:lncRNA from 1 species
GAGCAUAAUUGAUUUAUUGAGUGUCAUCCUUUGUGUGGCGGUUGGGAUCUCGCCAUGGUUAACUCCUACCAACCCUUCCCCUAGGAGUAAGCGUUUAGCACUUUGUUUCGAUUACUAAUAAAACUUUCGCAAUAAGUAUAUGAGUUCUUCAUGACUAAUGUGAGUGCAUGGUAUAGAUGCACUCUCACCCUUCCACCAUUGCUAGCCUCUCUAGUGCCGCGCAACUUCCACCGGUGCACAAAACCACCAUAUACCU